GAAAUGCGAUAAGUAGUGUGAAUUGCAGAAUUCAGUGAAUCAUCGAAUCUUUGAACGCACAUUGCGCCCCUUGGUAUUCCAUGGGGCAUGCCUGUUCGAGCGUCAUUUGUACCCUCAAGCUUUGCUUGGUGUUGGGCGUCUUUGUCUCGCGUUGUCGCGUGGACUCGCCUGAAAGCGAUUGGCAGCCGGCAUAUUUGGCCUUGGAGCGCAGCACAUUUUGCGCUUCUGGUCACGAAUGUUAGCGUCCAUCAAGCCCUCUUUUACAUUUGCGAUUGACCUCGGAUCAGGUAGGGAUACCCGCUGAACUUAA
rnacentral:misc_RNA from 1 species